UACGUAGGGGGCGAGCGUUGUCCGGAAUCAUUGGGCGUAAAGCGCGUGUAGGCGGCCCGGUAAGUCCGCUGUGAAAGUCCAGGGCUCAACCCUGGGAUGCCGGUGGAUACUGUCGGGCUCGAGUCCGGAAGAGGCGAGUGGAAUUCCUGGUGUAGCGGUGAAAUGCGCAGAUAUCAGGAGGAACACCGGUGGCGAAGGCGGAUCUCUGGGCCUUGCCUGACGCUGAGGCGCGAAAGCUAGGGGAGCGAACAGG
rnacentral:rRNA from 1 species